rnacentral:tRNA from 1 species
AUUCCUGCAGUUGAAGACAACAAUAACUUUUCAUGUUUUAGGUUUGGGUUAAACCCCCAACAAGAAUU